rnacentral:rRNA from 1 species
AUUGAACGCUGGCGGCAGGCCUAACACAUGCAAGUCGAGCGGAUGAAGGGAGCUUGCUCCUGGAUUCAGCGGCGGACGGGUGAGUAAUGCCUAGGAAUCUGCCUGGUAGUGGGGGAUAACGUCAGGAAACGGGCGCUAAUACCGCAUACGUCCUGAGGGAGAAAGUGGGGGAUCUUUGGACCUCACGCUAUCAGAUGAGCCUAGGUCGGAUUAGCUAGUGGGUGGGGUAAAGGCCUACCAAGGCGACGUUCCGUAACUGGUCUGAGAGGAUGAUCAGUCACCCUGGAACUGAGACACGGUCCAGACUCCUACGGGAGGCAGCAGUGGGGAAUAUUGGACAAUGGGCGAAAGCCUGAUCCAGCCAUGCCGCGUGGGUGAAGAAGGUCUUCGGAUUGUAAAGCACUUUAAGUUGGGAGGAAGGGCAGUAAGUUAAUACCUUGCUGUUUGGACGUUACCAACAGAAUAAGCACCGGCUAACUUCGU